rnacentral:lncRNA from 1 species
GAGCAGUAAAUGCCAGGGGAUACAUGAAAACUAAAAAGGUAUGUGGCCAAGUAGCUGCAGUGGAAGAGUGUCUGCGUCCAUUCACGAUGUCUUAGGUUUUAUCCUUAGUACCACAAAAGUGUUCAUAAUGACAUCUGCCUGUGAUCUUGUCACUGGGGAGGGGGUGUCAGGAAGAUAAGUUCAAGGUCAUUCACAAAAAGAAAGGGAAAAAGGUCACAAAGCAUUAUGUUGGUAUAGUGAUCUAAGGGGAAAGGGACCUAAAUGUGACGGAUUUCUGACUCUAGCUAGUAUUUCCAGCCGUCAUGCGUCAGUGUAUUGGUAUUAGCUAAGCAUUGAGGAGGAAAGCCAGCAUAUUUAAAGAUAGAGUUUACUGUAAAAGUAUAUACUUUAACAAUACUUUACCUUAAUUAAAAAAAUGAAAUGUCCUAGACUUAAACUUGACUUCACAGUUUUUAAAUAUUGGAGUUACUGUUUACUGAUGUUGUAUGGAAAAUGUAACCUAAUGGAGUGAUCCCUGCCAUGUGCAAAGGCCUCCAUGCCAAAAGUCCAAAUCCAAGCCCUGGAAUUUUACACCAGUUCAAAAUGUAUGUAGGAUGAAACGAGCCAAUCAAGAGAUAAUAAGCCAUGGGCUUAGAGAAAAUAUUUGCAGUUUACGUCUUGUAGAAGACUGUUACUUUAACUAUACAAAGAACUAUUUUUUUUAUUUAUUUUUUGGUUUUACAAGACAGGGUUUCUCUAUGUAACCCUGGCUGUCCUGGAACUCACUCUGUAGACCAGGCUGGCCUCAAACUCAGAAAUCUGCCUGCCUCUGCCUCCCAAAUGCUGGGAUUAAAGGCGUGUGCCACUACUGCCUGGCACAAAGUACUUUUAAACUCUACAGUAAUGAAAACUUUGAUUAAAAGUGGGUAAAAGAUAUGAAUAGAGACUUUACCAAAGAAGAUAUAUAAAUAAGCAUGUAAUAAAAUGAUAUAUACCAUACCAAAUUGCAAAUUAAAAUAAAAAUUAAAAUGGACACCCUACAUAGAUACUAAGAAGGCAGCUCCAGCAAACAGUGCAAGGAUGAGAGUCAGGGAAGGCUCACACGCUGUUGUGAGCCCGUUAUCCUACAGUGUACCACUUUACCACAAUCUGGGUGUUGAUGAUGGGAGGUGGGACUUUAACUUGUAUAAGGCAGGAGAUGCUUGGCAACCCUUUUAAAUGUUGGUAUGGAUGUAAAAACUAUUCUAAGAGCUAAUGGCUACUAACACUGAAGAGACUGCUGAGCACAGGUGAGGUCCUGGGUCCCACCCACUCAUUACUAAAAGAAGGGAUAGCAUCCAUGAAAAUAGUUGUCAUGCCUUGUUUGAAUCCACAGAAAAAGCCAUUGUGAUACUGUAGCAAAUUUACAGUUUUGAAGUAGAUAUGAAAAUAUUUUAUGGUUGGGGUCACUACAACAUGAGGAGCUGUAUUAAAGGGGCACAGCACAGGAAGCAUGAGAACCACUGAUCUAGCAGGUCUUGUGUGGUUUCUGAGGGAGGAGGGAGAAGGAGAAGGGAGAGAUCUGGAGCUUGUGUCCAAGAAUACUAGAAGAGGGGGUCAGAACCUCUGCCACUAGAGUUAGAGGUAUUUAUAAGUCACCUGAACUGAGUGCUGGGAACUAAAUUUGGGGCCUCCUGUAAGACCAGUAUAGAUUGAGACAUCUCUCCAAUUCCUUAAAGAGUGUCUUGGUUUGUUUUUAAAUCUGGUGUAGAAUAAGAUAGGAAAGCUUUAGGCUAAAUAUUCCUAGUUCUUCUAACCAUUCAGAAAAGGUUGGAUAGAUCGAUGAAUCUUUAUUGUGCAGAUCAUUGCUAGUAUCCUCCUGGGCUCUAUAAUGAAGUUUUAUUUUAGUUUAAAAUGAUUUCAAUAUACUGUUAUGUUAUUUCACAUGAUUGAAACAUACCUUUAACAUUCAUACCAGCCUGAGAUUAUAGUUAGUGGUAGAGCUGUUGCCUAGCAUACGCAAAUAGUAAGGUUCAAUGCCUAUUAUGGGGUGGAGGUAUCGCAGUUUAUACCAGGUAAGUUUUGUCUUUUAUAGAAUUUCCAGUUAGCUUCAUCUUUGCAUCAAUAAUUGUGCCAGUGCUUGACAAACUGUAGAUGCUUCAGUUAGUAUUUGUUGAGUGAAUUCAACUUCCUAAUCCUUUCUGCAUCUAAAGCUGUCUAACAGGUUUGACCAGCACCUCUUGUACUAAAAUGAGCCUGUGGGGGUGGACACAAGUGUGCAUUACCCCACACUUAAGUAGUAGUCUUGUGGAACCUAAACAGGACAUUUGAGGGUUGCUAAUGUUACAUUUAAUUCUACAAGAGCAGUCUCAGACAGUGCUCAACUUAAGAUGGCUUGGCCUACUUUUCUUCUCUUUGUAACAAUGUGAAAGCAAAAUAUAUUCUGUAUAAACUUCGAAUUUAAAGUUGUCUUUUCUUAGAGGGUAGGGAUAUAUGUUGAAGGGUACUGUUGGAAUUCUAGGCAAUAGAAACAAGUAGUAGCUUUAUGUCAACCAGGAGAUCCAGGGGGUGAAGAGCCCAAUAUUUCACAGGGACUACUCAUUAUUGUACAUUAGUAUAGGCUAGUAUAAAACAGUUUGUAUUAGAGAACUUUACCCAGCUGUAGCCUAUCUACAUAUUUUUAAUGCAUUUACGAGACACUAAGCUUCUGGGCCUGGUGGUACAUGCCUCUACUCCAGUAUUAAAGUCUGUCAGAUGUCUGUGAGCUGCCAGCCUGAUCACAGGGCAGCUAGAGCUAUAUACUAUGAGAUCUUAUAU